rnacentral:rRNA from 1 species
UACGUAGGGUGCAAGCGUUGUCCGGAAUUAUUGGGCGUAAAGAGCUUGUAGGCGGUUUGUCGCGUCUGCUGUGAAAUUUCGGGGCUCAACCCCGAACUUGCAGUGGGUACGGGCAGACUAGAGUGUGGUAGGGGAGACUGGAAUUCCUGGUGUAGCGGUGAAAUGCGCAGAUAUCAGGAGGAACACCGAUGGCGAAGGCAGGUCUCUGGGCAUUAACUGACGCUGAGAAGCGAAAGCAUGGGGAGCGAACAGG